rnacentral:rRNA from 1 species
GACGAACGCUGGCGGCGUGCUUAACACAUGCAAGUCGAACGGGAGAGGAUGAGGAAAUGCUUCGGCAUGGAGACAUCCGAUCUAGUGGCGGACGGGUGAGUAACGCGUGAGCAACCUGUCCUGCACAGGGGGAUAACACUGAGAAAUCAGUGCUAAUACCGCAUGAGACCACAGUAUCACAUGGUACAGGGGUCAAAGGAGAAAUCCGGUGCAGGGUGGGCUCGCGUCCCAUUAGCUAGUUGGUAGGGUAAAGGCCUACCAAGGCGACGAUGGGUAGCCGGACUGAGAGGUUGGCCGGCCACACUGGGACUGAGACACGGCCCAGACUCCUACGGGAGGCAGCAGUGGGGAAUAUUGGGCAAUGGGCGAAAGCCUGACCCAGCAACGCCGCGUGAAGGAAGAAGGUCUUUGGAUUGUAAACUU